AUACGUAGGGUGCAAGCGUUAAUCGGAAUUACUGGGCGUAAAGCGUGCGCAGGCGGUUUUGUAAGACAGAGGUGAAAUCCCCGGGCUCAACCUGGGAACUGCCUUUGUGACUGCAAGGCUAGAGUACGGCAGAGGGGGAUGGAAUUCCGCGUGUAGCAGUGAAAUGCGUAGAUAUGCGGAGGAACACCGAUGGCGAAGGCAAUCCCCUGGGCCUGUACUGACGCUCAUGCACGAAAGCGUGGGGAGCAAACAGGAUUAGAUACCCUGGUAGUCCACGCCCUAAACGAUGUCAACUGGUUGUUGGGUCUUCAUUGACUCAGUAACGAAGCUAACGCGUGAAGUUGACCGCCUGGGGAGUACGGCCGCAAGGUUAAAACUUAAAGGAAUUGACGGGG
rnacentral:rRNA from 1 species